UUGUCGUGUUUCUCCACAGUACCGCCACCACCACAAGACUGCGAAAUAUCUGAACUUGUAAAAGGAAAAGUGCAAGUCCAGUGGAAAGACCCGGACUUUGAGUGUGACAUUACCAACCACAGUAUCCUGUGGACAUGGGACGUGUUGUGGAGUGACGAGGAAGGGUCAGUGGAAACCUUCACCACGUCUAACAAAUCUACACUGAGUGGUGUCACACCCUGCUCCAACGUCACAGUGGAGAUAAGAGCUGGCAGUUACGGAGUCUUCAGUGCACCCUUAUAUUGCUGGGUGGUUACGCCUGAAGACAUUCCAGGGCCGCCAGAGAACGUGAGAGUAAAUGAGCUUUAAGUCGUUCUUCAUAUAUGAAUCAGCGUUACCCCAUCCACACUUCGUCUGGAGUUGACAAACCCUACUGCACCACUGAACAUUAACAGUGAAAAUCCUGAAUUUCUGCCCCUCGUGUUAUAUGAAUGCUAAAUAAAUAAAAAUUGUAUCACAGUCCUAUACAUACUUGAUCUCACCUCCUCCCUCGUGGCUUCACCAUCACCAUCACCUCUCUGAUAUCCCCCCAGCAUCACCUCUCUGACCUCCACCUUCUUCACGUGCCUGUUCUCAGCCAUCCGCUGCCUCGCUGACCUCACCCAUUCCCCCUAUGGAGUGACGAGGGUCAACUGAAACCUUCACCACGUCUAAGAACAUAUCUGGAUCCGGAGUACCUUUAUCUCAACAAUGAAAGUAGUGUCUGGGCGAAAAGGAAUAUUGUACGUGAUGAAAAACAAAGUUAGGUAGUUGCCAUGUUGAAGAGUAAGGGUACUUUCAUGUCAGUAGCUGCAGAAGUGCGGAGAAAGGAGCUGUUUUACAUUGCUGAGAGUCUGUGUCUAAGGGGCUUUUGCUUCUCAGUUAAUCUGCAGGAAAGUGUAAAGUUAGGGGAUUGAAAACUCAUAAAAAAUAUGGUGUGACGAUAAUAUCUUGGAACGUUAACAGGUUGAAAAAUAGAGCAGUGAAUUUGCAUUAUUAUCAUAUACCCUUAGACAGAAUCUUGACCUAGUAUGAUUGAAUUCUUGGGAGCACCCUAUUUUGUAAUAUGUAUUAUGUGAUAACUGUUGAAUUAAGGUAAAUGUAUUUGUUAUGUAUAUUAUUAUCUGCCUACUGUAUGGAAUUGUGAGCCACUUGAGGGACUUGAAGUAGUUGAGGGCAGAAAUAGCUUAAGCUAUUUUAUCCUUUUUGGUUGGCCAGUCAAUACAGUAAUAAAGCAAAGGAAAACAUUACCAAUUUUAUUCAAAGAUGUAAUUUGGAAAUAUCAUUAAAUAACAUAAUUAUUUAUAUUGUAAAACAAAACCAUUGAGCCAUGUGCAGAAAGAUAUGUGUUUCAUAGGCCUUCCUUAAAUUAUAAAUAUCUUGAAUUAUCUUGAAUUAAUUUAAGAGAGCUUCGUUCAUCAAGUGUUAUGAAUAUGUCUAUACGUCUCAAUAACAUUUAAUAGAUUCCUUGUUCUUAUCCUAAUAAACAUGUUUAUAUUAACAAUGACAUAAUUAGUUCCACCAAUUAUAUUCAGUUUGAUAUAGUUAAUGCUUUAUAGUUACUGGAAGGAGACUGAGGCUCCUAAUUUAAUGUUUCAGUGAUAAAGUUCACACAUUGCAAUACCAAAAGAAAGAGACUUUAUUAUUAAAAUUUGAAUUUCAAGUUUUGUCAAAAGAAAAUAUUAUUCUAAGAGGAAUUAUCACGUUUUGUUGUGUUUUGCAGUUAGGGUAACAGUUAUAAUAAUGUAUCAGGUAAAAAUAUAUUUCCCCUGACUUUUUCCCUUAUAUUUUUUUCAAAUAGAAGAUGUGAAGCCCUCGCCUGAAGCCUAUGCAAAUAUAUGGAAGGAAACGGAUUUAUGACACUUUACAGAACCUCCCACUGUCAUUACCUCCAACAGUGAAUAUCUCUCACGGUCACUAUCUCCCACAGUUAAUACUUUCCACAGUCAGUACCUCCUUCAGUGAGUAUCUCUCUCUCACAGUCACUAUCUCCCACAGUCAAUACCUCCCACAGUCAUUAUCUCUCACAGUCAAUACCUCCCACAGUCAGUAUCUCUCACAGUCACUAUCUCCCACAGUCAAUACCUCUUACAAUCAGUAUCUCUCACAGUCAAUACCUCCCACAGUCAGUAUCUCUCACAGUUGUCACAUCAUUACCCUCUAACACGGGGUUUUUGCUUCCCCAUUGCAGUCUCUCUCUAACUCUAGUUUCAUUCAGGGGAUAAUAUUACCUUUAUCUGUACAAAGUCUGUAUUAUAACAAUUUCCACAAUAUUUCUCUAGUCAUGUGACUUUCACACGACUAGUGUUAUCCAUAAAUCAGGAAUGGAUCACACGGUAAUUACCCGCAGAGUUGUUAACGGUUAACAUAAUUCACCCCAACUACCCCUGUGGGAGGGGGUGAGGCCCCCCUCGUGGGAUGAGGAGCCGGUGUGGUCAGACGGUGUUGGGCGCUCGUUUGGUGACGAACUAAGAUCCAUAGGUCUUAAGAACUGCUCAAGCAGUUGGUAAGAGUCGUAGGUCUGGUAGAAUAACUUUGUAUUUUGUUGUUUGUAAAGUCAUUUAUUUAUAUUUUCUCGUUUUUUGUUGUUUUUACUUUUUCACUAUUUUUACGGUUACAAGACAGAUGUAUUGCAGGUGUUAAAUUUUCGUUUUAUUAAAAUAACAUUUUCUUUAAUUUUGGGUUUAACGUUAAUCCUGUUUAUUAAUAGCACAUUGACUUAAAUACAGCAUAUUGUUUUUAUGUUGUGUAGAGUCGGAACAGAGUCGGAACCAGUAAUCGUUAGCACAGCGCCUCGCAGUUUGUGAAAUCGUGAAAUCAUCCUAUGAAAUCGUAUGAUUUCUCCCACCGACGAAAGCAACCCCUGGCGCCUCACUCUCCGACAAUUGAGUGGUAGGCUUAUCACCGGUAACUGACGCUUCCCGUGUUGAGCCAUCCCCAAGGCGAUGAAGGAGUAUCCUCUCCAGGGCACAGGCCUGGGCAGUAAUUAUGGAGAACUGACUAUUGCCCAUGCAGCAGAUCCACCCAUCUCUACGCCACCGAUGUGAUCCAAGGGAAGGGCAGGCGCCGAAACGCUUGGCACCAGUGUCGUCGCUGGAGUUGCCAGAAUGUAGCUGUAAACAGCUGAAAACUGCUUUAGGGACUUCGACUCCGGAUUUUUCCUCGGGAUUGGCUCCCGAAGCCUUUCCCAUGAGUGGGUUUAGCCGCAAGACAGCAGAGGUUUGUAUUCGGGUUUUUUCUUCUCUUAGACGAGACUGCCUCCGGCAAGCCUUAGCAUGACACGGGUGAGACAAGCGUCCACAGAGGCUCUGUAUAAGGUAGACAUCAGGACAAGAACUGAUCUGUACAUAAUUACUAUGGAUACGACGAGAUAAAAGUCAAUAGAGUGCCAUAGGAGAGACAGAUGUGUAAACUGGAACAGCCUAAAGGUCCAUAGCAAGACGAAAGAUAAACAAGUGACCACGGAACGCCCUGGGUGAUACAGAUAACUCAUACAUCAAAAUUUUGCCACGAUAAGACCAUUACUGAAAGAAAACUGACUGACCACACUAUUUUGACUGGACGUGUGGCCAGUCAGUACAGUAAUAGAGCAAAGGAAAAAAAUUGUUAUAUUUAUUCGAAGAUAUAACUUGGAAAUAUCAUUAAAUAACAUAAAUUUUAGGUUGUAAAACGAAACCAAUCAGGCACGUGCUGAUGAUGCGUUUCAUAGGCCUUCUUCCUAAGCUUAUAAAUGUAAUUUUGAAUUAAUUUAAGAGAGCUUCGUUCUUCAAGUGUUAUGAAUAUAUCUAUAGGUUUCAAGAAUGUUUAAUAAGUAACAUUUCUUGCUGUUAUUCUAAUAUAAAUGUUUACAUUAACAAUAAAAGGAUUAGUUCCUCCAAGUAUAUUCAAUUUGAUAUAGUUAAUGCUUUAUAUUUAUCGGAAGGAGACUGAGACUCCUAAUUUUAUAUUUCAAUGAUAAAGUUCACACAUUUCAAUACCUUAAAAGAGAGAGACUUUGUUUUUUAAUAUUUUAAUUUCAAAUUCUAUGAAAUGAAAAUGCUAUUUUAAGACAAAUGAUCACUUUUGGUUGUGUUUUGCAGUUAAGGUAAUAGUUACAUGAAUGUAAGAGGGAAAAUAUUGUAUUUUAUUUAUCAGAGUAAAACUUAAGGCAAUAUUGAAUCAGCUUAAUUAUAAUAUAUUUUUUUUAUAUAAGUAAAUCUCGGCUUUAAAUUCCAGGGCUCUUGGCCUUCAGAUUGAGGAAAAUAUAUUUAUAGUAUAUUCAUUGAACUUUUGUAAUGAGUUAUGUGAAAAUAAACCAGGUUGUGCAUACUGACUAAAAA